rfam:Marine metagenome ctg_1101668676638, whole genome shotgun sequence.
AGGCAGGGCUACCUGCUCUUCCUUAAACCGUCCCUUCGGGGGC